GACGAACGCUGGCGGCGUGCUUAACACAUGCAAGUCGAACGAUGAAGCACAGCUUGCUGGGUGGAAGAGUGGCGAACGGGUGAGUAACACGUGAGUAGCCUGCCCUUUACUCUGGGAUAAGCGCUGGAAACGGUGUCUAAUACUGGAUACGACCCUUACAGGCUUCUGUUGGGGGUGGAAUGAUUUAUCGGUGAAGGAUGGGCUCGCGGCCUAUCAGGUAGUUGGUGAGGUAGCGGCCCACCAAGCCGACGACGGGUAGCCGGCCUGAGAGGGUGACAGGCCACACUGGGACUGAGACACGGCCCAGACUCAUACGGGAGGCAGCAGUGGGGAAUAUUGCACAAUGGGCUAAAGCCUGAUGCAGCAACGCCGCGUGAGGGAUGACGGCAUUCGGGUUGUAAACCUCUUUUAGUAGGGAAGAAGCGAAAGUGACGGUACCUGCAGAAAAAGCACCGGCUAACUACGUGCCAGCCGCCGCAGUAAUAC
rnacentral:rRNA from 1 species